UGUACUUUGGUUUAAUGGUAGAACGCUUACAGGAGUUGUGGGUUCGAGUCUCACGAGUACCC
rnacentral:tRNA from 1 species